AAUGACAGCGGUUGAAUUAGGACGAGGUGUGGGUAAACUGGCUCAAUGACAGCGGUUGAAUUAGGACGAGGUGUUGGUAAACUGGCUCAAUGACAGCGGUUGAAUUAGGACGAGGUGUUGGUAAACUGGCUCAAUGACAGCGGGUGAAUU